GUGGGGAAUCUUGCGCAAUGGGCGAAAGCCUGACGCAGCCAUGCCGCGUGGAUGAUGAAGGUCUUAGGAUUGUAAAAUCCUUUCACCGGUGAAGAUAAUGACUGUAGCCGGAGAAGAAGCCCCGGCUAACUUCGUGCCAGCAGCCGCGGUAAUACGAAGGGGGCUAGCGUUGCUCGGAAUUACUGGGCGUAAAGGGAGCGUAGGCGGACAUUUAAGUCAGGGGUGAAAUCCCGAGGCUCAACCUCGGAACUGCCUUUGAUACUGGGUGUCUUGAGUGUGAGAGAGGUGAGUGGAACUCCGAGUGUAGAGGUGAAAUUCGUAGAUAUUCGGAAGAACACCAGUGGCGAAGGCGACUCACUGGCUCAUUACUGACGCUGAGGCUCGAAAGCGUGGGGAGCAAACAGGAUUAGAAACCCCAGUAGUCC
rnacentral:rRNA from 1 species